rnacentral:lncRNA from 1 species
UUUAAUAUUGACCAAGGUGCUUCUAGAGAUAUUUAUCAUGCAAAAAGAAUGCAUAAUGUAUGGGCUACUAAAUUUACUGCUGAUGGUAGAUUUAUUGUGAGUGGCUCAUCUGAUUUUUGUGUUCGUUUAUGGAAAAAUGAAGCCAGUCAACCACUUGGACCCAGAUCUUAUAGAGAAAGACAAACAUUAGCUUAUAGAAAUCAGCUUAUUGAUAGAUACCAGCAUUUACCUGAAAUUAAAAAGAUUUCCAGACAUCAUCACGUGCCAAAGAUGAUUAAAUCAAUUCAAGAAAGAAAACUUGUGCAGAUUAAUGCCAAGAAAAAAAGAGAACAGAAUCUUAGAGAUCAUACCAAAGAUUCAUCAAAACCACUUCCAGAAAGACAAAAACCCAUUGUUUCUGUAUUGGAGUAAUUUGUUUCAUUAUCAAUUAUUCACAACUACUCAUACAUAUAUUCAUUAUAUCUAUUUAAUUAUCCUUUAAUUCACAUGUAAAUUUUAUUUCAUGUUA